rnacentral:snRNA from 1 species
AUACUUACCUUGUUUCGAAUACCCCAGAUCAAGAAACGGGGUAUUCAGUUGGGAAGGCCUGCAUUGCACAGCGCGGAGUCAUUCCUUGCUCCAUUGUCCUUCGGGGCCAUGGGAGGCGCAAUUUUUGAUAUAUCCAACUCCGUUUUCAUUGUGA